UUGACCUCGGAUCAGGUAGGGAUACCCGCUGAACUUAAGCAUAUCAAUAAGCGGAGGAAAAGAAACCAACAGGGAUUGCUCUAGUAACGGCGAGUGAAGCAGCAAUAGCUCAAAUUUGAAAUCUGGCGUCUUCGACGUCCGAGUUGUAAUUUGUAGAGGAUGCUUCUGAGUAACCACCGACCUAAGUUCCUUGGAACAGGACGUCAUAGAGGGUGAGAAUCCCGUAUGCGGUCGGAAAGGUGCUCUAUACGUAGCUCCUACGACGAGUCGAGUUGUUUGGGAAUGCAGCUCUAAAUGGGAGGUAAAUUUCUUCUAAAGCUAAAUAUUGGCCAGAGACCGAUAGCGCACAAGUAGAGUGAUCGAAAGAUGAAAAGCACUUUGGAAAGAGAGUUAAAAAGCACGUGAAAUUGUUAAAAGGGAAGGGAUUGCAACCAGACUUGCUCGCGGUGUUCCGCCGGUCUUCUGACCGGUCUACUCGCCGCGUUGCAGGCCAGCAUCGUCUGGUGCCGCUGGAUAAGACUUGAGGAAUGUAGCUCCCUCGGGAGUGUUAUAGCCUCUUGUGAUGCAGCGAGCGCCGGGCGAGGUCCGCGCUUCGGCUAGGAUGCUGGCGUAAUGGUCGUAAUCCGCCCGUCUUGAAACACGGACCAAGGAGUCUAACAUCUAUGCGAGUGUUCGGGUGUCAAACCCCUACGCGUAAUGAAAGUGAACGGAGGUGAGAACCGCAAGGUGCAUCAUCGACCGAUCCUGAUGUCUUCGGAUGGAUUUGAGUAAGAGCAUAGCUGUUGGGACCCGAAAGAUGGUGAACUAUGCCUGAAUAGGGUGAAGCCAGAGGAAACUCUGGUGGAGGCUCGCAGCGGUUCUGACGUGCAAAUCGAUCGUCAAAUUUGGGUAUAGGGGCGAAAGACUAAUC
rnacentral:rRNA from 1 species